AAGACAUUAGCCUUAUCUAGUUUGUUAAAGCAAUGCGAUUAAGCAUAGAACUGACUAUUUUUGGUGUUACUCUCACUGGCUUUAUUUUUUAUGUGCUUUCAUCCUGAUAAACGAUGCCAUUCAAAGACCCUUGUGUGGAUUCUGUUGGAGCCAACCUUUCCUGUGACUUCACUGUUGGUUAUUAACAAAUUUUUCCUCGGUGUUUAAUACCUUAGACUAGCGGUAUUGCUAUUGUAAGAGCACCAUGUGGGAAAAGUUUCUAUGCACAGAUGGGAAGAAAGUUCUUUGAGAACAGUUCUGUAUGAUGCUGCUAUAUUGGUAGAAUAUUCUUUCCACAGUCCUGAUGGAGCAAUCAGUGUACCAGGCAAUUGGGAGAGAGAUGUUGCAGCGAAAAGAUUGAUCAC
rnacentral:misc_RNA from 1 species